rnacentral:rRNA from 1 species
CCUACGGGUGGCAGCAGUGGGGAAUAUUGCACAAUGGGCGAAACCCUGAUGCAGCGACGUCGCGUGAGUGAAGACGUACUUCGUUAUGUUAAGCUCUAUCAGCAGGGAAGAAAAUGACGGUACCUGAGUAAGAAGCCCUGGCUAACUACGAGCCAGCAGCCGCGGUAAUACGCAGGGGGCCAGCGUUAUCCGGAUUUACUGGGUUUUAAGGGAGCGUAGACGGCAUGGCAAGUCUGGAGUGAAAGGCGGGGGCUCAACCCCCGGACUGCUGUGGAAACUGUACGGCUGGAGUGCAGGAGAGGUAAGUGGAAUGCCUGGUGUAGCGGUGAAAUGCGUAGAUAUUAGGAGGAACACCAGUGGCGAAGGCGGCUUACUGGACUGUAACUGACGUUGAGGCUCGAAAGCGUGGGGAGCAAACAGGAUUAGAUACCCCUGUAGUC